AAGGCCCCUUGUAGACGACAAGGUAGAUAGGCCAGAUGUGGAAGUCCUGUAAGGGAUGCAGCUGACUGGUACUAAUCGGCCGAGGGCUUGACUU
rnacentral:rRNA from 1 species